rnacentral:lncRNA from 1 species
UGCUCUACCUUUAUCUCUUGAACAACCCUUGCGAUGGCAUCCUAAUCGCUCUUUGAUUUUGACAAUCAUCUGUCCGGUUCGCGUCACAACGAUUACCACCGCACCACUCGUACUCCGCUGUGGCACCAUGCCGCAACACCACCAUUUACCGCCAUGAAACAGUUAAUAGCCGCCGUCCUAUUUAGUGUUACCGUUCACCGCCGCCGCACUGUUUCUUGCUUGGUUGCUGCAAUGCACUUCCGUUAACCGAUCACUGAUACCUUUGUUUUGAAACUUUUCGGCCAUGUUCGACCCCGUAAGGUCGUCUUAUAUAAUUUUCAAGUGAGACGUUAGAAUUCUGCAAAGUUUGUCUUGCGUUCUAAGGUAAAAUGGGAAACUUGGGGAAAUAAGUGACGAGCGUCUU